CGUCUGACUGGAAGCUCCACUUUAAGUGAAACUGCAGAUGGAAGCAGGUUACAGCAUUCCACCAUGCAAAUGACAGUGAAACACUGAGGGUAGAAGAAGGCUUGACGUAAUGUCCUCCAGCUUUCACCUCACGCCCUGUGCAGCUGUUUCUGAUAGCAGCGGUGAAGAAGUGGAAAGAGGAACAUGAGGAGGUCUCGAGGUUCGAACAUUGGUCAGAGUGCCCUUUCCAGUACCUUGGCCUUUACUUUCCCAGGCAGGAUGAGCAGUGUGGUACCCUGGCAAUUGGAACACACUCUCCACUCCCCUUCUUUAAAAAAUAGGGACAGUCACCCUGAUCUGCCAGUCCAAGGGUACUGUUCCUGAGGUCCAUCCGACAUUGCAAAGACGUGUCAGCCAUGACAGCCCUGCAACAUCCAGAGCCUUAAGCAUUUCUGAGCAAAUCUCAUCCACUCUUGGUACCUCGCCACCGAGGAUCUUGCCAACUACCUCAGUGAUCUCUGCCAGGGAAAUGAUGAAGCCCCCGUGAUGGAGGAAUUCCUCUUGGGUUUAUGAUUUCCUCAAAAUUCUCCUUUCACUGACGGACAAUAUCCUCAUUCAAAACCAGAGUUUCUCCACCUUUGCUGAGCGCAACCUGACUGUAGCCACUCUAAGUGCUCCUGAAUUACCAGUUGGUUGUCCAGAACCUGAGCUAACCAAACGUCUUCAGCUUCUGACAUAAUUUGAAAAUGCCUGUGAUCCUUUAUAUUGUGGGUAAAUUUCACGA